UGCCGGAUGGUGUAGUGGUAACACGUCUGAUUCUGGAUCAGAAGACCCUAGGUUCGACCCCUAGUCCGGCAGCCA
rnacentral:tRNA from 1 species